rnacentral:piRNA from 1 species
UUCUUGUAUCAUGGCAGCCAGGAAG